GACGAACCGUGCGAACGUUGUUCGGAAUCAUUGGGCGUAAAGAGCGUGUAGGCGGUUCAGUAAGUCUGCUGUGAAAGUCCAAGGCUCAACCUUGGGAUGCCGGUGGAUACUGCUGGGCUAGAGUACGGAAGAGGCGAGUGGAAUUCCCGGUGUAGCGGUGAAAUGCGCAGAUAUCGGGAGGAACACCUAUUGCGAAGGCAGCUCGCUGGGACGUCACUGACGCUGAGACGCGAAAGCGUGGGGAGCGAACAGG
rnacentral:rRNA from 1 species